UUCCCAGCCAAGAUCUCACAG
rnacentral:piRNA from 1 species